rnacentral:rRNA from 1 species
GAUUUCUGGUUUGAUAUGCCUGGCCCGCCAUGUUACAUGUGUGAGUGCCGGUGCGUGUCUGCCAUCCUUCUAGAAAACGAUUCUGCCAUUCACUUGGUUGGGAUCGCGAUCUAGAUCUUUUACUUUGAAAAAAUUAGAGUGUUUAAAGCAGGCUUUUGCUAUGAAUACAUUAGCAUGGAAUAAUAAUCUAGGACUUCGGUUCUAUUUUGUUGGUUUCUAUAACUGAAGUAAUGAUUGAUAGGGAUAGUUGGGGGUGCUAGUAUUGGCCGGCCAGAGGUGAAAUUCUUGGAUUCGGUCAAGACUAACUUAUGCGAAAGCAUU